rnacentral:tRNA from 1 species
UCCCUGGUGGCUCAGAGGGUAAAGCGUCCGCCUGCAAUGUGGGAGACCCGGGUUUGAUCCCUGGGUCGGGAA